UACGAGUGCCUCAAGCGUUAUCCGGAAUUAUUGGGCGUAAAGGAUGUGUAGGUGGUUGUGUUAGUCUUUUGUUAAAUUCUUCGGCUUAACCGGGGGCAUGCAAAAGAAACGGCACAACUCGAGGAUGCGAGGGGUCUGCGGAACUCAUAGUGUAGCGGUGAAAUGCGUUGAUAUUAUGGGGAACACCAAAAGCGAAGGCAGCAGACUGGAGCACUCCUGACACUGAAACAUGAAAGCGUGGGUCGCGAAUGGG
rnacentral:rRNA from 1 species